UACAGAGGUCUCAAGCGUUGUUCGGAUUCAUUGGGCGUAAAGGGUGCGUAGGCGGCGGGGUAAGUCUGAUGUGAAAUCCCGGGGCUCAACCCCGGAAUGGCAUUGGAUACUGCCUUGCUAGAGAACUGGAGAGGAGACUGGAAUUUACGGUGUAGCAGUGAAAUGCGUAGAGAUCGUAAGGAAGACCAGUGGCGAAGGCGGGUCUCUGGACAGUUCCUGACACUGAGGCACGAAGGCCAGGGGAGCAAACGGG
rnacentral:rRNA from 1 species